UAUAAUAGCAUACCCGUGACAAUAUAAUUUUCUAAUAGUCGUGCGACUGCUGCUGCUGCCGCUGCACGCGACCUGCCGUAUACAUAUAAGAGGCGAUGGCAUAAUCGUGGUGCACUUUUGCCGGGUGCUGGAAAAACCAGACAGGUAUAUUUGUAUCAGUUAAUUCAAUUUGUAUAAUUCGUACCGGUGUUUCAGAACAAUGCGAUAAAACCGUUGCGAAGGGUUCUGGAUCCAUUCGGUUCCAGGACACAAGGAUCGCAGGUAGACGAGAAACCUAUUUAUGGGGUGUGGACCUCUAUUGUAAUACAACGGGUCAUUUCACCGACUCUGUAUAGUAACGACACCGGUGUGCAUUUCGGUUUUCCCCCGACCUUUAUUCGAUUAAUUUGAAUGUUUUAAAAAAUUUUCUACAUCCAGAUUAUAGCACGUGUCACUUAUUCCGGGUAAAAGCGAUUUGUCGAGUUUACAAUUUCCCGGAGACGCGGGAUUCAAAUGUCGAGGUGAAUUUUUUCAAAAUUUACAAACAUCCGCGAGGUACGGUAAGUUGUAGGCGUGUGUGUGUGUGUGCGGUACGUUGUAACGUAUAUAUUUAUAUUUGGUAAAGGUUUACCUUGUAUAAAUAAAAGAUUGCACUUCUUGAUAUGGCACAAUUUGUGUUAUGCUACAAUUUAUAAUACCGCACACAGCACAUCUGUAAUGUGUAAUCUCUGAACGCGUUAUCGCAUGUUUUACUAUACGACGCAUUCUUAAAAUUGUUGCCUAUACAUCUGGCGGAGUUUGUACGUACGUUAUGUACGCAACAUGCAGCGCAAUUACUGCAGCAGCGUACCUGGCACCAGAUCGCAGAGACAUACGAACACGGUACGAGUCGUAAUCUCGUUAAUCAGAUCUGUUGAAAAUAUCAAUAGCCUGGUAAUAUACUGGACUAAAAAUACACAUCACAAUAAUUAGUGACAUACGUACCUUGUAUAUGGUUAAAAAAUAUGAACAAAUAAGGUGUACUUACACAUGGUACGUUGAAUAUUGACGGAAAUUUUUGGCACCAACGUAACGGCUCUUUUACGUAGUCCACGUAAUUUUUUUUUUCGUUUUUUUCAAACGCAUAUUCCGUACGUUUUGCAUAAUUACAUGUGCGUACAUAGAUGUAUAAUGUAAAGUUGGACUCAAUUUUAUCUUGCAAUACUUCACAUUGCCCAAUAUGCGAUCAGCAAUAACAAUUAUUUGAAAAUUUCGAGGAAUUUGUAAUACAACGCGACGACGACUCAUAAAACUCAUAUGUGCGUACAUGUUUUGAUUCCAAAAAUGAUGUUAUAUUAUCUAAUUAUCUUGUGAAAUCCGUUGAACAGAUUUAUUCACUCGCUACGAGCUUAUAAAUAUCAUUAACUGUUUCUGUUCGAGUAAAAUCAACUUAUUGUCAAGACCCCGCACGAAAAGGCGGGCAGCCGAAGUUACUCGAUUACAUAGCUAUAAUGCCUUGUUUAAUCGUAAUUAGCACUUCCUUAUUAUACAGCCCUCGUUAUAGACUUAUUUAUACGAAUAAAUAAAAACUCAUCUAGGUUGGAAAAUUCGAAUUUAACUGGAAGCCUGCAAUUUUUCUGAUGGUAUUUUCAAGAGAAUCAGGAUUUACAUGGAUCUUUAGGCACCCAAGAAGAUUCCGGAAAAUUUUCGUUGCACUAAGAGUAAAUGUACAGUCACAAUCAAAUUACGGGCUUACCUCGCUUCCAUUUUUCAGAGGUGAAAAUUUGUUCUACGUUAGUCCGCACUUCCGCAGCCUCCUCACAAUUCAUGAAAAUCAUCGAUUCCCAUAUCCUUCUGAUUGUGAGUCAGAGUCAGGGCAGAGUCUGCAAGAACAGUAGGGAUUCAUGCCUAUUUCGAAAAGCCCAGGAUCUAAAGUUUGUUUGCAUGCACGGAAAUCAUUACAUAUAUCGCCGUGAAUUACCGUCAUUGUUUGUUCGCUCCGUUGAUUUACGACAUCUGUAGUGGAUUUGCAUUCCUUAAAUAAUGAUUUGAACAAAUCUCGAGUCCACGAAGCUCCUGGGGCAGUGAUAAAUAAUUAAUUUAACGCGACGACAUACGUAUGUAUAACGUACGUAC